UAACUUUCUUCUCAUUCUAAAUAGGGAAAAGAAAUAUAGUUGGGUCUCUUCUCGGAUGCCUCCUUCCCUCCGUGUGUCCUGAAAGCAUAUCUGGCCCUUUCUCUCAUUAGUGGAAUUGCUCCUUCUUGGGGCAACGACCAAAGAUGUGAUUCCUUCGCUUCACCUCUCUGUUCAUUGCUUCCCCAGGUUCCCCAGCACGUUUAACGCACGGAGCUGAGAGGAGCAGCAGCGUGCAGGCUUCCCCGCCAGGCUGACUUGGUGCCCAGUCUGAAAAUUUGGACAACUGUAGCCCACCCUGAUCAAGAGCCAAAUAUAUGCCAGAACUUGUUUCAUGGAGAAGAUGAAAAGAAACUGAUUAACUUCUAACAAGACGGAUGAAAUGACUUUGUGUAAGACACAGAAACAUUGCACAGAUGCUGCCACCAAUUUUAUGCUCACAAGGAUAUUUUCAGAGGAAUUUGAGAGCAGUUGGAAUGGGGACCUUCUGAGAUUCCAGCAGCAGCAAGAAAGUGCUAUAUCCCAGUGGGGACAGUGGAGGAGGGAAGACGAGAAGAUGACCCAUCAGUGUAAAAUGCUUCUCUUUGUCAUUUGUCAAUGUCAAAGAAGUAAUGGCUGUGGAACUUGCUGGAAACAAUAACAACAAAUGGGCAAAAUAUUGAAACAGUGGUUUUCAAAUAUUAGGAAAAAAAUGCCUGUGAUUAUUGGAAGAAGGAUAACAAAUGAAGUUAUGCCUAUAAUUAUUCCCAGCUACUGCCUGGAAACAAUUUAUUGGAAGCAACGUAAAAUGGAAAACCUGGACUGAUAUCAAGAUCUUGCUGAACUGAGAAAAUAGAGAUAGGUGUUCCAGGAGGCAAAGAUGACUGUGCCAAAACACCAUAGAAAAUGGAGUGGCACAGAGAGACAGAUCGAAAUAUCUGUGAGAAUAAAAUGAAGCACCACAACCCAACACAUCCGAAUCCAACUCCUAAGAACCAAUAACAGAAGGGAAAAAAAAUCUAAACACAUUUUAACAGUGAAGUAUUUGAAUGGUUUCUGAGGACACAAUUGAGGCAAAAUUCUGGACUGACGGGUGGAAUCAUUCAGUCAUGGUGUAAAGCUUUGACCUCUACUUGGUUCUGUAUUAUGAAUCUGAAAAUCAAGAGGUUGAAGCAAGCAUGGCCCCAUCUACCAGCCCCAGCGAUCCAUUGGAGGAUUUGUGCCUUCCAUCAGUAAUGUCUGGGAUCUUCUUGGUUAAAAUGUAUAUUCAUGAGGAGGAUGUUUUCUUGAUGGUAGCAAGACAUGGAUAGAUAGCUUUGAACUAUAGUGCACAGAUAUGGCCUCAUCACUUUUGUCUGCUUGUUUCAAAGGUUCAAAAGGGAAG
rnacentral:lncRNA from 1 species